rnacentral:snoRNA from 1 species
CUCCUUUCGUAGUUCAUAAGUGUGAUGAUUGGGUGUUCAUGACUGUGUGUGCGAUGUGCUUCCCUCUAAACCUUUUUGACAUGAAA